AUAAUGGGUCAGCGACUUAUAUUCUGUAGCAAGGUUAACCGAAUAGGGGAGCCGAAGGGAAACCGAGUCUUAACUGGGCGUUAAGUUGCAGGGUAUAGACCCGAAACCCGGUGAUCUAGCCAUGGGCAGGUUGAAGGUUGGGUAACACUAACUGGAGGACCGAACCGACUAAUGUUGAAAAAUUAGCGGAUGACUUGUGGCUGGGGGUGAAAGGCCAAUCAAACCGGGAGAUAGCUGGUUCUCCCCGAAAGCUAUUUAGGUAGCGCCUCGUGAAUUCAUCUCCGGGGGUAGAGCACUGUUUCGGCAAGGGGGUCAUCCCGACUUACCAACCCGAUGCAAACUGCGAAUACCGGAGAAUGUUAUCACGGGAGACACACGGCGGGUGCUAACGUCCGUCGUGAAGAGGGAAACAACCCAGACCGCCAGCUAAGGUCCCAAAGUCAUGGUUAAGUGGGAAACGAU
rnacentral:rRNA from 1 species